rnacentral:ncRNA from 2 species
AACGUGCUCCGGGGCUCGGUGAGAUUCCGAACCGGCGGUUAUAGUCCGCGACCCGCAACGAAGUGAAAACUUUGGAACGGUUGACCUGGUGAAACUCCGGGACCGACGGUAAUGAGAUCGCAAGAUUUCUCAGUCCGGAUAAGAGGAAGCACGAG